ensembl:lncRNA
CUGUUUUGCUGCCCCAACUACAACCGCUGCCCCAACUACAACCACAGUCCCAACUACAACUUCAACAGCUAAAACUACAACCACUGCCCCUACUGCAACUACAACCACCACCGCAACUACAACUACAUCUACAACCACUACAACAACAACCACCGUCCCAACUACAACCAGUACAACUACAACCACCACCCCAACAACCACUGUCCCAACUACAACCAGUACAACGCCAACCACCACCCCAACAACCAUUGUCCCAACCACAACCAGUACAACGGUAACCACCACCCCAACGACAACAAGUACUACGACAACCACCACCCCAACGACAACCACUACAACUACAACCACAGUCCCAACGACAACCAGUACAACUACAACCACUGCCUCAACAACAACCACCACCCCGGCUACAACCACUACAACUCCAACCACUACCCCAACUAUAACCACCGCCCUAACUACAGCUACAUCCAGUACCCCAACUAUAACCUCCGCCUCAACAACAGCUACUGCCCCAACUACAACUUUCACCCCAACUACAACCACGGCCCCAACUACAACCACUACACCAAGUACAACCACCGCCUCAACAACCACCACUCAAACGACAACCAUCACCCCAAAAACAACCACCGCUCCAACAACAAUCACCGCCCCAACUACAGCUACUUCCAGUACCCCAACUACAACAACCACCUCAACAACCACCACCACAACUACAACUGUCACCCCAACUACAACCACAGCCACAACUACAACCACCACCCCAACUACAACUACCGCCACAACUACAGCCACCACCCCAACUACAACUACAACCACCACCCCAACUACAACUACCGCCGCAACUACAACCACCACCCCAACUACAACUACAACCACCACCCCAACUACAACUACAACCACCACCACAACUACAACCACCGCCUCAACUACAAGCUCUAAAGCUACAACUGCUACAUCAACUGCAACAACUGCCUCUACAACCAAAAGUGACGCUUGUUCCAUCAGACUGGGAAUGAUCCACCUGCUGCUUGGACUCCUUCUCUUUACCUUUCAUUAAAGUCCCGAAUAACACAAAAACAAACAAAAAAACAUAUGAUGCUAUAGCAAGACUCACAAACCUUUUCGAGAUUUGAGUUGUGUUUACAAAUCACUGUUAAACUGAAGUCCAUGAAAAAAAGGCGAUAGAGUAUUGUUGAAGCGGACUUGGAAUAAGUAUGUAAGACUUCUUUCUUUGUUGGCAUGGACAGUUGUGUCAGUUCAAUACUUCAUAUUAUUUAUAAUAUUUAUUUUAAAUAUGCGUUAUAUGCAUGUUGUUUUCCAUGUAUGCAAAUGUCUGGAUGUUAGUUUAUACCAAGUGGGUGAUACAAAGGAGUCCUUGUAAUAAUAGCAAAGUAUGCUUAGUAAAUAAAAGAAAGAAGCAC